UCGGGAAUAUUGCGCAAUGGAGGAAACUCUGACGCAGUGACGCCGCGUAUAGGAAGAAGGUUUUCGGAUUGUAAACUAUUGUCGUUAGGGAAGAUAUAAGACAGUACCUAAGGAGGAAGCUCCGGCUAACUACGUUCCAGCAGCCGCGGUAAUACGUAGGGAGCAAGCGUUAUCCGGAUUUAUUGGGUGUAAAGGGUGCGUAGACGGGAAGGCAAGUUAGUUGUGAAAUCCCUCGGCUUAACUGAGGAACUGCAACUAAAACUAUCUUUCUUGAGUGUUGGAGAGGAAAGUGGAAUUCCUAGUGUAGCGGUGAAAUGCGUAGAUAUUAGGAGGAACACCGGUGGCGAAGGCGACUUUCUGGACAACAACUGACGUUGAGGCACGAAAGUGUGGGGAGCAAACAGG
rnacentral:rRNA from 1 species